GGUUCCAUAAGUCAAUGGUUAGACUAUCUGACUCUUAAUCAGAAGAUUCCAGUUCAAAUCUGGAUGGAAUCACCA
rnacentral:tRNA from 1 species